rnacentral:tRNA from 1 species
AUAUCUUUAGUAUAUUAAAUACGUCUCCCUUCCAAGGAAAAAAUUGGCCACCAAAGAUAAA